GCACUGAUAGUUCAGUGGUAGAAUUCUUGCCUUCCAAGCAAGAGGCAGGGGUUCGAUUCCCCUUCAGUGCA